GUGCGUUGCGUGCCAGUUUUCGCCAUUUUAAGCGCCUUGUUUCGUAGUACUUCUGUCAAGUAGUUGAUUUUGUUUACGUGAUCGUGUUUUGCGGAUAAAUUACGAGGAUUUGAUUUACUAAAUCUAAGUUGAAUUUGAAAAAAGUGUAAUUCAACAUGCCCGCGUGUUCUAUUGUGCAGUGUGGUGCCAAAAAAGGCAAAAAACAACCCCAUUUGACACUUCAUAGGUUUCCAAGAAACGAAAUCUUGAGAAGACGAUGGUUAGAGACUGUUGGUGAAAAAAAUAUAAACCCUCGUCAUAAGGAGUUGUACCUUUGUUCGCUUCACUUUGAAGACAAUUGUUUUAACAGGACACUUGAUGUUGCGAGAUUACGUGAUAACGUAAUUCCCACAAUAUUUCAGAUGUCGAAAACAAAAAGAGCAGCAGUUUUAUGUGAAACAGGAAAUAUUGAGAAAAUCUAUAUACCCAGUAUGCCUACUGUGUUGCCCUCAUUGCGAUUGUCAAAAGCACUACAUGAAAAGUCUGUUCAAGAAUACGAGAUAAGGAAUUUAAAAGAAAAGCUAGGCAAGUCACGGCUCAAGAUCAAACGGCUUAAUGAAAAAAUUCGAAGACAAAACAAAAAGAUAGCUGAUUUGAAGGAUAUUAUAAGAAUCAACGGAAUCAAAAUCAAAUGAAUAAAGAGCAAAGUGUAUUGAUGGAAGAAUUUGCAGGUUCGCAAGACUUUUUGAAAAGGCAGGUUAAUAAAUCUCAAGGUUUACCUUUGCCAAACAAGUAUUCCAAAGAAAUAAGAAAGUUUGCUUUAACUUUACAUUUUCUUUUUCUAAAGGCGUAUACAUGCGAUGUUACAGGGUGUCACAAAGACAGAUUCAGAAUAAAUGGGUAUCAUUUAAGCUAUCACCAAUUUAAUUAGUUUUGUGUUUCUUAAAUAAUAGGGUUUGUCCUCAAAAUAGUAGAUCUGUCACCAAAAUGUAGUCACCAAACAAUGCAAAAUCAGUUCCACAAUAAAUCACCUAAAAUCCUGAGAUAUAAGGUCUAGUACCAAAUAAAUGUUUUUGUAUGUAUUAUAAUAGGUGUGUCCUAAUAAGUAUUUAAACAAACUAAUUUAAAGAGAUUACCAAUAAAUCAUAUUAUGUUACUAGAAAAUUGCAUAAGUUCAAAUAAAAAAUUAGGGUUGUCAUCAUCGUUUCAACCAAAAGAUUCUGCUACUUAACUAGACUCCCAAGGUUCUAAAUUUCCACUGGUAGUAUAAAUUAUAUUUAGCAGAGUAGUAAAUAAAACAAUUUAAGUCAAUAUAAUCAAUAUUUAUUGUUUAAAAUAAUCACCACUGAACAAUCAGCGCUGGUUUAAAAUAGCUGGCUUAUGGCACGCCGCCCGCGUCGCGCAUCGUGUGAUCGAACCUAGUUACCUACUACCCAUCGUUGAGGCCGGAUUGGUCAAUUUUUAAAGCGCGCCAAUUUGUCUCUGCCCCUUUGAUCAUUUUUUCAUUAAAAUUAUAAAUUGAUGUAUUAAAUUGGUAACGAAUACUAUUAAUUUAAUAUCUGAACGAAAUAAAAUGUUACUACUGUAUUGGUGACAAAAUAUCAAAUAAAAAGGAGUCGCAGUCAGGGAUCGAUAAUCGAUUUAUUUGGUGACAGAUCUACCAUUCUGAGCACAGAGUUAUUAUUUAAGUAACAAAACUGUUAUUAUAAGAACGAAGUUUAUAUUCAUGUAAUGCAAUAUAAUUUUAUUGGUUAUCGAUCUCUUAUUUUACACAUAUAUUAACAUUAAUUUGUUAAUUCAUACCUGGGAACAAUUUUUGUUUAUCUGAGAACGAAAAUAUUUCGUGGCGAUAGAUCUAUUUAUUAGGUGAUACAUCUUGAUGACAAAUAUAAAUUUUGGUGAUAGAAAAUAUAGUCCCCAGAAUAAAUUGACACCGUUUAGAAAUUAAUAGAUUUAUAUUUAUUGUAAUAUAAUUAAUAAUGUAAAUAAUAUGUAAUGUGUGAAAUAAAUACUUGCAAAUAAACAGAUUUACGUUAUAAUUUAUAUUUCAUUUUACCUCCCGUUCUUAUUUACUCCUACACUCCAGGUGGAUUCGAAUUGUGCGCAAUAAUGAGUGUAAUUAAUGCUAAAGAUUUGUUAAGGAAACGACUUAGUUAAAUCUUGACUAAACCUCCUCCUCCUUUACCUUCCCUCUCUGUUCUCUCAUGAAUAGUAUGCCGUAUUUUUGUAACUAUAAUUCUACAUAUACCUAGUAGGUACGAGUAUGUUAAUCCUAGUUAGUGAUGUUCCGAAUAUCCGUAUCCGUAUCCGCGGAUAUCCGAGAUAAAAGAAAAAUCCGUAUCCGUUACUUUUCACGCGGAUCUUUUAUGGAUCUUUUUCAGGUGAUUAAGUAGAAUUUUUUAAUUAAAAACUAUAAAAUUCAAUUCAGAUUGUUUUUAUUUCUUAAAAUCAAAUAUUUGGCACCUUUAUAUUGCAAACAUUUAGAUAGAUAUAUCUUUAUUAUGAAAGCAAGAUAAAAUAUCACUUUUAUAACAGUGAAAUAACUAAAACUUUAAUCUUUUUUUUUAAGAAAGUAAAGAUCCGUAUCCGCGGAUAUACAUUUUUAACGAUCCGGCACAUCACUAAUCCUAGUAUUGAAAUAGCUAGCAGCCCAAGUAAAGGCCGCCAUUUUAAGCAACAUAGUGGCACGUUUUUUUGUAGGUAUUCCCAGUCCAUAAUAUUAUAUGACUAUGGUCUCACCCCGAACACUUCACAAGAAAGAAACUCGUUUUACACAGACACAUUAUACAUUGACGUUGUCGUACACGCGCAUCUGUGUGUGUGACGUCUGACGCCCAUACAAUUGAAGAUGACACGCCGAAUCGUACCGUACCGGAAAAUAACUCAAAUGACACGAUAAACGAUUGUGAAGAAGAUCCUGAGCAAGAUGGUCCGCAGCAGAAUGACGGCUGCCUAAAAGCUGAAAGACCGGAUACUCCUGAACCUGAACCUUCUACAUUUACAAACAAGGUCGACGAAGCAGUCAAUGAUUCAGUAAAUGAUAUUCCACCUGACGCGUUAACGGAUCGCAAAAAACCAGAUGAAGACGAGUACGAUCUUUUUGGCCGUUCAUUGGCGAUCCAGCUUAGAAAACUGCCUGAACUUGACGCACUAGAUUUGAUGCAUAAGGUGCAGUUAAUGGUAAUCUCUAAGAAGAAACAGAUACAACAAGCAGCAAGCCGGAAGCGCACAAUUCAUGCACAAAAGACUGUUAUUUCCAAGAGGUCACUGCGUUCUUCAUCCCCCAUGCACGUUCUAUCGCGUUCACCUUCGCCGAGUACGAGUCCAGAAACCGAGGUGUUUGCACAAUUUGCCAACACCAAUUCGUGUUUAGAAGAUCCUUUGACGCCUGGUCAAAUUCGUGUCAAAAAAGAAAACAUGAAUUAGUUGUGCGUCUUUUCAUCAAUCAUACCUAUUCGGCCAGUCAUCUAAGAAUGGUAUAGGUACAGUACGGUCACGAGCAUUAAUAUGUAUACACUUUGGUACCAUGUCACAUUAACUUUCUUAACAAAUUGAACUGUACGUCUCACUAAAUGUCAAAUAUGUUAGUGCGUGAGUCCUAAAGUGGGUACAUUAUCGUUUGAGAACUUUUCCAAUUAGUCCCGCGCCCGCGGAACGGGUUACGUGCCUCGUGCAACGCGAAUUAUAUCAAGGCCUACGACCAAUAGCUGCACGACGUCAUCCAUCUAGAUAACCAGACUACAGAAUAGUAGGUAUUCUACGUCUAUUGCUCAAAUUCCUUGAUGUAUUUCGUGUCGCGCCGCUGAACCCGUGCCGCCCGCGCUGUAAAUAUUAUGCGUCUGUGAUUAUGUUUAUCUAGGUAGACAAGACUUGUAGUUACAAGAAGUAUGUAUUUCCUAUUCGUUUCGCCAUUAUGUUGAAAAUUCUAUGUAUGUUCAUUGUAAAUUCACAAGAUCAUAAUACUUAUUUAGUUAACGAAUAUCUUACGUUGAAGUACAUAAGUAGUACCUAUAUCUAAACUUCAAUAAAAGUUUUUAUGUGAGUACCUAA